CCUACGUGAGGCUGCAGUAGGGAAUCUUUCACAAUGGGCGAAAGCCUGCUGGAGCAACGCCGCGUGCAGGAUGAAGGCCUUCGGGUUGUAAACUGCUUUUAUAAGCGAGAUAUAUUAUGGUAACUUAUGAAUAAGGAUCGGCUAACUACGUGCCAGCAGACACGAUAAUACGUAGGGGGCAAGCGUGAUCCGGAUUUACUGGGAUUAAAGGGGGCGUAGACGGCUUUGCAAGUCUGAAGUGAAAGCCCGUGGCCCAACCGCGGAACUGCUUUGGAAACUGUAUAGCUUGAGUACUGUAGAGGCAGGCGGAAUUCCUAGUGUAGCGGUGAAAUGCGUAGAUAUUAGGAGGAACACCAGUGGCGAAGGCGGCCUGCUGGACAGAAACUGACGUUGAGGCUCGAAAGCGUGGGGAGCAAACAGGAUUAGAUACCCGAGUAGUG
rnacentral:rRNA from 1 species